UUGAACGCUAGUCAUAGAGCGCUGCGAUCGCACAACAAUAAACAACGUAUAUGUAGUUAUACACAUCUGACAUACACAACUUAUACUUAACGAUUGAAGCACCUUACAGUUUAACAGAUAAAUUAAGAAAUUUUUGUCGGAUCUGUGUAUAGGAUUGUGAUGUAACGGCAUCGCGAAAUCUUGCCAUAUUUGUCUCCGAGGACUAGUUCCGGGAACAAUGUGACGAUCACGCAUCAAUUUGCUUGUGCAACCGUUUCAACUAACUGGCUGUACGCCGUGGGGAGAAUCGGCAACUAAUCCGCCAUUGUGUGUCGAGCAUGAUGCGAUUAUCGCGUUAUACAGUUGCGCUAUGGGAGAAUACCGAACUGUGAAAGUGUUGUUGGGCCUCGGAUAGAACCGGAGCCACUACGUGGCUGAAAAAGCCGAAUUUCCAUCGCUGUAAUGUUUGGACGAUAAACAAGGUCGAAUCUUUCUAAAGACUUCAAUUUUGACGCUACACGGAGUGUGAUGAAAGAAUACAACGUGCAACAUGAUUAGACUUUCGAUUCCCGGUUCAACAGAGCUUCAACCAGCGUACCCGCAACAAGAGAUGCGUGAAUUGUUACGUUCCACCUACGUCCAUCUCUCGUCUACGCAAAUGCAUGGAACGUGCGAUGGUUGAACAUUGAGGAACGUACGAAGAAAAAAUCUGGAGGCCAGACGGGUUGUUUGUGCGAUUAACGGUAAACCUGAUUCACAGUGAGAAGUCGCCAAGGUGCUUGGGUAAAAGAACCUACAAGGAAAAUUCUUGAUGAAGGAUAU